CUUUGAGCCGCGGCCCCUGGGCAGAGAGGGGCACCAAAGGUUCUGGAGAAGAGGGCAAGGUCAUCUUCCACAGCCACUCCAGCGGCUCUCCCCAACUGCCUUCUCUUUACACGUUGAGACCUUUGGGGAGUGGCUCAGGCCCCUGACUACGGCCUCCCUUCUAACUCUUCCCUUUACCCUUGAUCAAAAUUAUAUUCAUCUCCAUCAUUGUAAUCUACG
rnacentral:lncRNA from 1 species